AUGGAUUUUAUAUCAGGUCUUCCUACAUCCUUCCAAUAUGAUUGCAUACUGGUGGUGAUUGACAAGUUCUCUAAGUAUGGCCAUUUCAUUUCUCUCUCACACCCCUUCACAGCUCAGAAAGUGGCUGAAGUUUUCAUAGAUAAUGUGUAUAAGUUGCAUGGUAUGCCCAGGUUGAUAAUCUGUGAUAGGAACCCCAUUUCACUAGCUCCUUCUGGCAACUGCUUAUAUCAAGAACUGGAGCAGAACUAA
rnacentral:rRNA from 1 species